rnacentral:misc_RNA from 1 species
AACGCACAUUGCGCCCGCCAGUAUUCUGGCGGGCAUGCCUGUUCGAGCGUCAUUUCAACCAUCAAGCCCCCGGCUUGUGUUGGGGACCUGCGGCUGCCGCAGGCCCUGAAAUCCAGUGGCGGGCUCGCCGUAGCACCGAGCGUAGUAGCACACUUCUCGCUCCGGUAGCAGCGGCGGGCGCCUGCCGUAAAACCCCCCUUAAAAUCUCAAGGUUGACCUCGGAUCAGGUAGGAAUACCCGCUGAACUUAA